UUAUAAGCAAUUCACGAAAUUCAACCAGGAAAAGACUUUAUUAAUCAUCAGUUGUAAAUUGGCAUGCUUCAAUAUGAUCUAUGAUAACUACAAUGCAAGGCUUAUCUUAUUCUCAUCACUUGAAAGUUUCUUCAACAUUUUUAUGAAAGCUAAUCGUCUUAAGAGAAGAUUUUUCAGAAGGAAGGAGUUAAUUGAAAUUUGGGAGAAAGAAUGAUAGCCAUGUUCAUUUUUACUUCUAUAGCCCUCUCCUUAUGAUUCGAUUGCUACAGGACUGUUCCUGUAACUAUUAAGUUAAGAAAAAUGGCAGAGUAACUAUGUGAGAGGGAUACCAUCGGCAGUCUUGAAGCAGGCUAAUUACAAGCAGAGGUGGUUCGAUGGUUCCAAGUGGUAUCCAGGCUCUAGAAUCAAUUCUAAAUAAGUGGUCUGUCACCAGAAGGUUGACCAAAGCCACCACAGAGCAACAACGUCUGCACUGGAUCGCUACUUGGCUUCAGCGCAUGUCAACGGCUGACAACGGUUUUUCAGUUUGCUAGUAAUUUUAUUGCUGCAUCUGAAAUAAGAAUUUCCUGGCAAAUAGUAUAUAGAUGUCUAGGUGAAAGGGCUUUCAACGCCCGGCAUCCAGUCUUGUGCAUCCCUUUGUUUGCAUCCAACAGGAAUGCACGAUUGUUGUGGAGUCAAAUACAUCAGUCUAAGACACAAUAAGAAUAAGGUGGGUUCUUUUCAGUGGUGAGCCAAGAUUCACCAUACAGAGUGAUCUUCAUCAAAUCUUUAUCUGGGUAGAACAAGGAGAUCGCUAUUAUCCUCCCUACAUAAAAUACAUCAACAGAUUUGGUGGUAAAGAAAUCCUUGUCAGGAGUGGAAUAAUGAUGGGCAGUUGUAUACCAUUACAUGUCUUCAAUACGAGUACUGUUACCGAGCAUCGCUAUAGAGAUGAGAUACUUGAAGCCUAUGUGAAAUUGUUCCGGGGGCUCUGUCCCGGACUUCAUUUUUAUAAACGAUAAUGCGCGUCCACACAGAUACCAGGCUACUGAUGAUUUUCUUGAAGAAGAGGACAUUCGCCAUAUGGAAUGGCUCUCGAAGAUUCUGGAUCGCAACCCUAUUGAAUAUGUAUGGGAUAGCCUAGGAAGAGUCAUCACACAGCGUAACCGCACUCUCAAAACCUUCCAGAAGUUAAAAACCACUUUUUUGGAAGAAUCGGCUUUGUUGUGACAAACAUUUAUUGAUACCCUUACAAACAGUAUGAGAGCUCAUUGUGAGGUUUGUAUAACAGGAUAUGGUAGUCACACUCCAUAUUAGACAGACUUUUUCUGAGAGAAAUGCUUUAUCUCUGAUUCAUGAUUUAACACUUUUUCAUAUAUCCUGUUUCUUAAUUCACAAUUAAAAUCUUUUUCAUAUUAUUAUGUUGCUAUAUUCUUUCUCCCAUUGUAAUAUAUCUCUGUGCCAGAUUUUGUGACAGUACAGUGAAUAGUUCCAUCAGUUUUUACAGAUUUUAUG